rnacentral:rRNA from 1 species
CAUAUGAAGGUCAGGCUGAAGACUUACCCGAUUAGCUGAGAGGUGGUGCAUGGCCGUCGUCAGUUCGUACUGUGAAGCAUCCUGUUAAGUCAGGCAACGAGCGAGACCCACGUCCACAGUUGCCAGCAUACCCUCCGGGGUGAUGGGUACACUGUGGAGACCGCCGCUGCUAAAGCGGAGGAAGGAGUGGGCAACGGUAGGUCAGUAUGCCCCGAAUCUCCCGGGCUACACGCGGGCUACAAUGGUUGGUACAAUGGGCAUCUACCCCGAAAGGGGAAGGAAAUCUCUUAAAGCCAAUCGUAGUUCGGAUUGAGGGCUGCAACUCGCCCUCAUGAAGCUGGGAUCCGUAGUAAUCGCGUUUCAACAGAACGCGGUGAAUACGUCCCUGCUCCUU